rnacentral:rRNA from 1 species
AUUGAACGCUGGCGGCAGGCCUAACACAUGCAAGUCGAGCGGAUGAAGGGAGCUUGCUCCUGGAUUCAGCGGCGGACGGGCGAGUAAUGCCUAGGAAUCUGCCUGGCAGUGGGGGAUAACGUCCGGAAACGGGCGCUAAUACCGCAUACGUCCUGAGGGAGAAAGUGGGGGAUCUUCGGACCUCACGCUAUCAGAUGAGCCUAGGUCGGAUUAGCUAGUUGGUGGGGUAAAGGCCUACCAAGGCGACGAUCCGUAACUGGUCUGAGAGGAUGAUCAGUCACACUGGAACUGAGACACGGUCCAGACUCCUACGGGAGGCAGCAGUGGGGAAUAUUGCACAAAGGGCGAAAGCCUGAUCCAGCCAUGCCGCGUGUGUGAAGAAGGUCUUCGGAUUGUAAAGCACUUUAAGUUGGGAGGAAGGACAGUAAGUUAAUACCUGGCUGUUUUGACGUUACCAACAGAAUAAGCCCCGGCUAACUUCGUG